rnacentral:rRNA from 1 species
GUACACAAAAAUGCACAUGCUGUGAGCUCGAUGAGUAGGGCGGGACACGUGGUAUCCUGUCUGAAUAUGGGGGGACCAUCCUCCAAGGCUAAAUACUCCUGACUGACCGAUAGUGAACCAGUACCGUGAGGGAAAGGCGAAAAGAACCCCGGCGAGGGGAGUGAAAAAGAACCUGAAACCGUGUACGUACAAGCAGUGGGAGCACAGAGCAAUCUGUGUGACUGCGUACCUUUUGUAUAAUGGGUCAGCGACUUAUAUUCUGUAGCAAGGUUAACCGAAUAGGGGAGCCGAAGGGAAACCGAGUCUUAACUGGGCGUUAAGUUGCAGGGUAUAGACCCGAAACCCGGUGAUCUAGCCAUGGGCAGGUUGAAGGUUGGGUAACACUAACUGGAGGACCGAACCGACUAAUGUUGAAAAAUUAGCGGAUGACUUGUGGCUGGGGGUGAAAGGCCAAUCAAACCGGGAGAUAGCUGGUUCUCCCCGAAAGCUAUUUAGGUAGCGCCUCGUGAAUUCAUCUCCGGGGGUAGAGCACUGUUUCGGCAAGGGGGUCAUCCCGACUUACCAACCCGAUGCAAACUGCGAAUACCGGAGAAUGUUAUCACGGGAGACACACGGCGGGUGCUAACGUCCGUCGUGAAGAGGGAAACAACCCAGACCGCCAGCUAAGGUCCCAAAGUCAUGGUUAAGUGGGAAACGAUGUGGGAAGGCCCAGACAGCCAGGAUGUUGGCUUAGAAGCAGCCAUCAUUUAAAGAAAGCGUAAUAGCUCACUGGUCGAGUCGGCCUGCGCGGAAGAUGUAACGGGGCUAAACCAUGCACCGAAGCUGCGGCAGCGACACUAUGUGUUGUUGGGUAGGGGAGCGUUCUGUAAGCCUGUGAAGGUGUACUGUGAGGUAUGCUGGAGGUAUCAGAAGUGCGAAUGCUGACAUAAGUAACGAUAAAGCGGGUGAAAAGCCCGCUCGCCGGAAGACCAAGGGUUCCUGUCCAACGUUAAUCGGGGCAGGGUGAGUCGACCCCUAAGGCGAGGCCGAAAGGCGUAGUCGAUGGGAAACAGGUUAAUAUUCCUGUACUUGGUGUUACUGCGAAGGGGGGACGGAGAAGGCUAUGUUGGCCGGGCGACGGUUGUCCCGGUUUAAGCGUGUAGGCUGGUUUUCCAGGCAAAUCCGGAAAAUCAAGGCUGAGGCGUGAUGACGAGGCACUACGGUGCUGAAGCAACAAAUGCCCUGCUUCCAGGAAAAGCCUCUAAGCAUCAGGUAACAUCAAAUCGUACCCCAAACCGACACAGGUGGUCAGGUAGAGAAUACCAAGGCGCUUGAGAGAACUCGGGUGAAGGAACUAGGCAAAAUGGUGCCGUAACUUCGGGAGAAGGCACGCUGAUAUGUAGGUGAAGUCCCUCGCGGAUGGAGCUGAAAUCAGUCGAAGAUACCAGCUGGCUGCAACUGUUUAUUAAAAACACAGCACUGUGCAAACACGAAAGUGGACGUAUACGGUGUGACGCCUGCCCGGUGC